UGUGGUUUGUUGAAGCAGGGAGUGAAUCUUGGGAAAAAGAAGAGAGUUUUAAAGGUGAAGGUGAAGGGGAUUGUGGGAAAUUCGGGAAGGGAAGGAAAACGAGGGAAGAGGAUUAAGGCGUGAAGAGGGAGAAGAAUAAGAAGAAAAUAUAGGUAAGUGAAGGUAAGAAGGGGAAAUGAGAUAAAGAGGCAUGGUGAAAGUGAGAGUAACGAAUGGGAAGAGAAGAGAAUCUCACACACAAAAUGGGAUCACAGACGUAGAGGAUGAAUAAAAGCACGAGGGGAAAACGGUGGAUGGGAAAUAAUAUUGCGGCUACUAAACAUUUUCUCAAAUUUCUCUUAGUUUUCUAUUUUUUCAUCUCAUGAAUAUGAGUUUUUUUAUGAAAUAACCUCUUUUUAAAAAAAAUCCAAUCUACUAUAGUUUUUUAGAAAACAAUAUAUAUUUUUUUAAAUGGGAAAAUAAAAAGAAAAAAAAACAUAGUCAGGAAAUUAUCUAGGAAAUAAGGUGAGAAAAUUAUCUAGAUAGUAAAGUAUAACAUCAGUUAGUAGGAGAGUGACUAUUCAAAUAUGAGGUUCCGCAAAAGACCAGUAUGUCACAUUAUUACUUGUUUCAUAUUUUGCUAGGUAAUUGGAGUCGUUAUCGGGGUUUCGAAUCAGAUAACGAGGAAACCGAGACUGAACAAAAGAAUGCCCUCACCCUUAAAAGGGGAGAGAAAUUGCAAAUUAGAAGAGUCGACACCGGAUUUUAUUUUGAUUUCCUCAAUGGGAGAGAAGAGGGGAAAUGGUCGAUAAAACUCUCGAAAGAAAAAGGUGUGCACGGGAAGCGCCAAGGUACGGAUAAAGAAUCGAUCUCGCAACCGAGACUUGGGUUCGGAAGUCGGUUACGCAAGGAAAAAGUAUUAGCACCCCUCACGUCCAUAGUACUCUAUGGGAACCAUUGUGUUAUUUACGUAUGUGGGCAUUUAUUUGUUUAUUUUUAUUUACUAUUAUUUGCAAAAAAGAGUGUGACAGAGAGUGUUUUGGGUUUUUUAUUAUUGUGCUCGUCAAGUAUUGUGGUCCUUGUGCCUACGUAUCACUCAUCAGGUGAUGAGGAAUCAGAGCUCCGUAGUUUGGAGUAGAAAGUAUUUAAGUGUUGGUUGAUUUUACCUUUAAAAAAAUGGUUUUCGGGGUGGUGCCUUAAGGCACAAAAAAUAAGGUUUGAUGGGUUGUAUUGUUUUUACCUUGAAUAAGAGUUUAUGAAAAACAGUUUGUGAUUAGAUUGUACUAAAGUCUAUGGACGGAGGUGAAAAUUCUAGACAACAAGUCAACUGUCUUGCAUCCAAAAUAAUCAGAGUAAGGAUAGGAAAGCUCCUUUCUUACUUAUUCUCCACCACUUAGGACUCGUGGUGCACAAUACUAAUCACAGUUUUAAUGUAUUUUGAAUUUGAUUAGGAAAAUGUCACUAGAUGUUGGAUCAAUGAUUAGUUUAUUUGAUUCUGAAAUUGCGUAAUGUAACGGAUAUACAAAGUAACCAACAAGGAAGUAAAUCGUCUCAUUGUAAGGUAGCCCAAGAGAAAGCCUUGUGCGUGCUAAAGUAACCUAAGCUAAACAGAUAUAUAUAUAUUAUAUAUAUAUAUUUUAAUAUCUUAUUAUAUAUAAUAUUUCAUAUAUAUUAUAAUAUUAUAUAUAUAUAUAUAUAUUAUAACAUAUAUUAUAUAUAUAUAUAAUAGAUUAUAUAUAAUAUUAAAUAGGAUAUAUAUUAUAUAUAUUUAUUUUAUAUAUAUCAGUUUAAUUGUAUAUCUAUUUAAUAUAUAUAUUUACAUAUUAUAUAUUUAUAUAUAUAUAUAUAUAAUAUUAUAUUGAUAUUUUUAAUUUACUGGAUAUAAGUAUAUAUAUAUUUUAUUAUAUAUAUAAUAUAUACUAUAUAUAUAAAUAUAUAUAUUUAUGAUAUAUAUUUAUAUAUAUAAUUAUAUUAUAUAUAUUAUUAUUAUAUAUAUAUAUAUAUAUAUAUUAUAUAUAUUAAGUAGAUAUAUUAUUUAAUAUAUUUAUUAAUAUAUAUAUAUAUAUAUAUACUAUAUUAUAUAUAUAUAUAUAUAUAUAUAUAUAUAUAUGAUAUAUUAUAUAUAUAUAUAUAUAUAUAUAUAUAUAAUAUAAUAUAUAUAUAUAUAUUAUAUUUAAUGAUAUUUAAUAUAUACUAUAUACUAUUAUAUAUAUAUAUAAUAUUAUAUAUAAUAUAAUUAAUAUAUAUAUUAUGUAUAUACUGUAAUAUAGUCGUAACUAUAUAAUUAUAGUAACUAUAUUUAUUUAUAUAUAAUAUUAUAUCUAUUACUAUAUUAUUAAAUAUUUAUAUAAUAUAAAUAGUAUAUACUAUUAUAAUAUUAUAUUAUAUAUUAUGAUAUUAUUACAGAAUAUAUUAUAUAUAUAUAUAUUAUAUAUAUAUAUAUGGUAUAUAUCUCGUAAAUAUAAUAUAUAUAUAUAUAUAUAUAUUAUAGUAUAUAAAUCAUAUAUAUAUCUAUUAUUGACUAUACGUAUAUUGAUAUGAUUAUAUAUAUAUUGUAUUAAGUAUAUUGUGAUCUGUAUUGAAAAAAGCUAACUUAUAAUAUAAAUAUUAUGGGAAACUAUAUAUACUACUAUACGUAAAAGUAUGUAUAAUAACUCAUAUAUAAUAUAGGGUAUAACCUCAUUGUAAGUUAACUAUUAUUUAUAUGAAUUGUGGGAUUAGUGUAUACUUUUUUUUAUAAGUUAUAAUGCAAAAUUUAUCUUUUAGAAUAGAUACGGUAUUUGCAGAUGUAAAUCUGGCAAUGUACUAAGCAAAGUAUUUCUGCAUAAUAUAAUGAUGAUCUAUUAGAACACAUACUUUUUAUUAUAGUACUCUUUCUUCUCUUAACAAAAAAUUUUUCAUAUCUGGAAAUUAUUUUUUAAUUAGAGUAUUUUUAGCAUAAAGUCUCUUUAGCUUCUUAUAUUAGGUUUGAUUAGGAUCGUUGGUACUAAAGAACAACAGUUUAGAAGAUGUGUUCUUGUUCAACCUUGAAUUCAAUAUACAAAUCACUUAUUUUUAUUAGAAUAUAAUUAGUAGGUAUAUAUCAUGUACUCUUCUGUAUCAAUUAAUAUCAUCAUAUGAGAAUUGAAUCUCAUUGCUAUCAUGCAUUGGCCAAAUCGCAUGCUUGAUCAAUGAGACCGCUGGUACAACAGGAAUAAUUUGAGGUAAUAGGAAGUAAGGCACAUUCAUAGCGAAAUCACAUUGUUACUGAGACAAAUUGUGUUCAAAUCAGGUACCAAAAAAACAAACAAUUCAACUGUACUAAACAAUGCUAUUCAAGAAGAUCUAGUGGAUGCAAGGUGAACAUUCGAAUUCUAGAUAAUUGCAAGAGAGAGUAGUAAUGUUCACGAGAAUCAUUAGUGAGCAGCCAGACAGAUACUAAUUUUAACCAAUUCAGACUGCCAUGACAACAAAAGUAUACUCUCAAUUGAGAUCCUCUACAUUUGAGCAAAAAUCUUGACAAAUUUGCAUGGUGCCAAGUAUUGCGUCACAAUUCUUUGCCAUCUUAAAAAACUAACAGCUGGAUACACCUAAUUUCAACUCUUUCAGCAUUUGUCAUAUCGUUUGUGUUGUGUACAAGCAUGGUCUUCCAGACGAUACUUCUGUUGCAACCUCAUCAUAACUGGCGGUGAACCAUACUCGCAUGGGCCACUUUCAUUUUAUUUACAUAUCCUCAUAGAACUCAUACAAGGCUGGUUUCACUUUAGAAUCGAGUUAUCCACAGGUCCUAUGUUGAAGACUGAGUUGUAGCUGGCAGGCACAAAGUCCAUGAAUUAAAAGACAUCAUAUAUGUCCAGUUCAAUCAUGCUGGAAUUGCAAAAUUCACAAAAUUUAACCUUUGCGUAAAGAAAAUUUUACUUAAGUAAUGCUUUAACAGCUUUGCAAUACACUCAGACGUCAAACUUAAGAAUCGUAAAAUGAUCAAUAAGGCUUGCAGAAAUUUUCUGAAUAAUUCAAACUACGCAGUUGAUAAAAGAUCAUAAUGAUCUUAGUUUAUGCUGCCUAUCUAUAGUUACAAAUUAUCAAAUACAUCAGCAUGAUCGUUAUCUUCUAUCCUCUCAUUCAUCUACUUACUAGCUAUUUGGGCACAAAACAAUUCACAGCAUCAAUAUGAAAAACUAACUCACUCAUAAUGAUUAAGCUUUUAUGACAGCAAAUGAUGAAUAUGAAUAUUGGCUAUUUAUUUCUUACAAUAAAACAUACCAUUAACCUCAAACUGAACAUCCAUGAUCCAAAAUGGACAGAAAUAUAUUAGAACUGAUUAUUUAGCUCUCAGAUUAUACAAGUACUUGAGUUACACCUCAACACUUCAAACAUUAUUACUGCAAUUCACUAUAAACUAUUGCAACAUAACUCUGAAAAAGGGUGUUAUGUCACGAUCUGAAAUUGACACGCGAAACUUGUACUGUAUUCAAUUUUUCAAUAUUAACGUGUAGAAUGUGAGUGGUGUUUCCGUUUCCGGUGUUUCAACUUAUAGGUACAAAUUUACCCUUAUAAAAACUAAGAGUAUUGAAUAGGUAUAAGAUGAAAUCAACAAAAAGUUUGAGCUAAAAAAGCAAAAUAAAAUAUUCUACAAAUUCUAACUUAGGCACAAUAAGACAAGAUGUCUAUAUCAUCAAAACUCCAAAGCAAGAAAGCGUUACAAAUGCAAUUCAAGCCAUCCUAGAUUUUAAUUUCAAAUUUAUAAAAAUUCCAAAGGAUUGGAUCUUGAAUGCACAAUAAAAAAUAGAAUCCUGAUCCUAGCUCCAAAUAAAACCUAACUGAUUCAAAUCUCGUGUUUAUAUGUUUUUGGUUCGAAACACGAAACCCCAAAUUAAUCCGAAAAUAGUAAAGAAAAAUAUAUCAACUUUGGCAUUUCUUAUUAAAUUGAUUAUCGUAAAGAAUAAAGGAAAGAAAUACAUGUGGUUUGUUGAAGCAGAAAGCGAAUCUUGGGAAAAAGAAGGGAGUUUUGAAGGUGAAGGUGAAGGGGUUUGUGGGAAAUUCGGGAAGGGAAGGAAAACGAGGGAAGAGGAUUAAGGCGUGAAGAGGGAGAAGAAUAAGAAGAAAAUAUAGGUAAGUGAAGGUAAGAAGGGGAAAUGAGAGAAAGAGGGAUGGUGAAAGUGAGAGUAACGAAUGGGAAGAGAAGAGAAUCUCACACACAAAAUGGGACCACAGACGUAGAGGAUGAAUAAAAGCACGAGAGGAAAACGGUGGAUGGGAAAUAAUAU
rnacentral:lncRNA from 1 species